rnacentral:misc_RNA from 1 species
UUUCCGUAGGCGAACCUGCGGAAGGAUCAUUAAUGAGUUGUCAUGGGGUUCGAUGCUGGCAGCCAGUUUUUGGAUGCAUGUGCUUGCCCUAACAAUCAUCUUCUUCCAAACACCUGUGCACAUUUUUGAGGGAGUCUUGAGUUGGUUGCCGCUCUUGGGUGAUUUUCUCACAUUCCCUUAAAUCAUUAUACGCUAUUAACAAUGUUGAACGUGCUCUGUGCCGCAAGGCCAUUAAUAUAAUACAACUUUUAACAACGGAUCUCUUGGCUCUC